UUGUGAAGUCUUAGAGGGAAGCCAGGACUAUGGGGGCUGUGUGAUACUGUGAAUUAAUGAUCUGUUGUUUUAGGUCAGCUGACACUGAAGAAUUGGUGUGAUCAACAAGAGCCCAGCAUCACUGACGCGAACUUUUGGGUUCAACUAUGCUUCAGAGGGGCCGACACUGGACCUCAAGCUGGCAGCCAAACUCGUAUGCAUUUGCAUUACAUACUUGAUUUAUAUACCUGCAAGAAAGGGGUUAUGAGUGGAAAGGAGGAGCCCUGUUCUGGAGUUGAUGUCCAUCAGAUCUGCAGCUGGCACAGAACUGGCCUGACCAACGGAGUGACAGACUGUAAAGUGCUCUCUCCAAGCAUGUGACCUUGAUGUGCCCUGUCUGCAGAACACCCACAGGAGGCUUCAGAUGGCUAUUCCACACGUGUGUACUGGACCUCAGCAGGAUCAGCCUCUGGAGUGAAAAUGAGGUUUGGCCAUGGGGAGCAGGCCCCAGCUGUGGGAGAGCCUAGCUUUCCAUCCCCACGGGAGCCUGCUGUGGAGAGUGACUGGGAUUUAUGGCUAGGCCACGUGGAGGAACAUGACACAGAGGAGAAGGACGGGCUUCCGCAUGCCGGGCAGAUCAGGUCAGGAGCAGGGAAGUUCCUCUCUAACUGGGCAGGAUAACUGUCUGGCACGGCUGCAAGGGGAGCACAAUGGGUAUUCCAUUAGAUGAUCAUCUCCGGCUCCUGUCGCACGCCAGCCUCCAGUCAAUGACUGCGCUUUCCGCUGGAGAAAUCUGGACUCAGACAGACAGGUUGUGUGCAUGGAUCUAUGUUAAAGCAGGGCCAUUUAUUGAAUUUCACUUCAAGCUUCAGAGAAAAUAUUAACUUUGUUUUGUUUUCUUUUUCAAGACAGGGUUUCUCUGUGUAGCCUGGGCUGUCCUGGAACUUAACUCUGUAGAGAGACCAGGCUGGCCUUGAACUCAGAGCUCCACUUG